UACGUAGGGUGCAAGCGUUAAUCGGAAUUACUGGGCGUAAAGCGUGCGCAGGCGGUUUUGUAAGACAGAGGUGAAAUCCCCGGGCUCAACCUGGGAACUGCCUUUGUGACUGCAAGGCUAGAGUACGGCAGAGGGGGGUGGAAUUCCGCGUGUAGCAGUGAAAUGCGUAGAUAUGCGGAGGAACACCGAUGGCGAAGGCAACCCCCUGGGCCUGUACUGACGCUCAUGCACGAAAGCGUGGGGAGCAAACAGG
rnacentral:rRNA from 1 species